GACUGCGUUGCAGCCUGACGGGAAGAGCCGUGAGUCUUAAAGGGGAAGAGCACCUUAGAGAGCAGGUCUUGGAGAGUCGACUCUAGGAGCGCUCAAAAAGGCCACGGGCCCUAGGAUUUGUUUGACGACGCCCCAAUCCUAUGCCCCGUUUUCUUCUGGAGAACACAAAUCCCAGCCCUUGGGUGUCCCGUGUUCUCAGGCUGCCAUCGUGAGGAAAAUACCUAGUACCUGAUAAACUAAACCACACAAGGCUGAAGAGAUGCCCUCCAGAAGGUGCAUGCUUUUGAAAACAGGACCCGUAGAGAGAGCAAUGUUUAGAGGAACCCAUCUGAUACAGUAGAAUUUCAGAACGUCACGGCAACCAGAGUUUCCCAGUACCACUUAAACAUCACGACACACAUAACCUGCUCUGCUAGGAGUUUAUCGACGGAUUAGCACACAGCAAGCAGAUGACAAUACUUGCAAGUCAUGACGAGUUGAAUUUAAAAACAUGGUUUAUUUAACAAAUUAUUUUGUAAAUUUUUCUGGAUUCUCUGGCCAAAUUUUCCCUUGUAUAAAGCCAAAUCACACAUAGAAAAUG